rnacentral:sRNA from 1 species
AUGCGAUGAGUCGAUUCGUGAUUAUUAUAAUCACGUCGAAGCAGUGGAUAUCUAGGGCAUAGCCCGUCAAGGAUUGAUGAGAUAUUGGUAAGUUGUGUGAACCUUCUUACCACGGAUGAAAGUUUGCCACAUAAGACCUAAUCUUUUGGUUAGGUCUUUUU